GUUACAGCUAGGAGAUGAAAAUUUUGAGAAUCUUUAGCAAGUGUCCGCUAAGGAGUCUGCAUAAGGGAUGACAUGCAACCUUCUUUGCUCCCUGGGGAGGCAGUAAUCUGUUCCUGGCUCAUAGCAGAUUACUAAUCCCCCCCUGCAGGAAAACCAAGUUAAUUCUCACGUAUCACCCUCACGUAUCAUCACUUUCACCCCAAUUUAGAUUCAUUCUCUGCAGCAAAUUUAUGUUAAAGGCAUAACCAGAAUGCAGUAGGAACGGCAGCAGGAAAGGAAAAGAACCCUGCACCCAGCAACUCUGCUUUGGUAAAGUUUGUCUUAUCCCUGUACCCUUGCAUUCAUCUUGGCUUUCAUUUCAUCCUACACCUCUUCUCCUCCCCUAUGGUCCUCCUAAUUCACUCUCCAGCCUCCUUUCAACCCUUUCAUGCCAUGUUUGGAAUAGCUUCAGUUUCUGCACGCCAAGCAUCCACCUUACGUUGACUCAUGGGUAGAGCCCUGCAAAUCUGCAGAUGUCCGCUAUAUAUCCACAGACCAUGUUUGUGGAUCGCGGAUCAGAUGCGGAUACAAAUUUUGUGUCCGUGCAGGGCUCUAGUCAUUGGUACAGUGUUACUAGCUGUGUAAUGAUAUUUGAUGUUUUUCUGAAAGCUCUAGCUCCUGGAAUCCAGGGAACAAUUUGAGAAUUUCAGCAUUCAUUAAAAAAAAAAAAAAGGUAAGUUUUGAGCCCUCAUAGUUGCAGAGAAAAGCUUGAAAAUGUGACCUGAGUGCACAUGACAGGGUCAGAAAUCAGAAGGCAAAGGAAAAGCACCCCACAUUUAUUGUUGUUUUAAAAAUCUCAGGAUUUUUAAGCCAAUCUAUGAUUUUUAAGCAUUACUCCUGAUUUUUGAACUUGGGGAUAGUAACAUUGCUGUUGUCUCUGCACCUUCUUGUGCCUGAAUUGUCCUGUGCUUUUUCCUUCCGAGUUAGACCUGAGUUCUGUGAACAGGGAGGCCGCCUUUGCCCAUCUUCUGUACCAGUGCUGCGUGAAUUCUGUAGCCAAAUCCAGCAGUGUAGCUGAGAGCAGAGUUUGAUCUUUUCUUUGUUCACUACCACUUAGACUUGUGGUCUGUCCUCUGUUCACGAAUCCAGUGCCCUGUUUGUUCAUUUUCUGCUGCAUUCAUAUUCCUGGCUGGUGGCUUAAAGGAUUUUCCACAAUAUCCUCUAAAUCCUUUCCUAAUCAGUCCUGACUGCUCUAUUUGCAAUAUACUUGCUGUUCUGGUACAUUGCCUUCACUGUUCAUGUUACACCUUUAUCUACAUUAACUACUUCAUAACUGUGUAACCCAUGGUAUGUGAUGCAAAAUACAUCCUUAGCUCUGUAUCCUUCCCUGAAAGAAUCACAGAGUUGCUUUCUCCUAACACAGAACAAGAAAUUCUCCAAGAAGCAAUAACUACUGUCUCUCUCUGCUGCAUUGCAGUUUCUGCCUAGAACUCCUCCUGCCUGGCUUCCUGAUGGAGGUUUAAAGAAACAGUACAAACACCUGUACACCAUCCAUAAAUGGAGCACUGCUGCUAUUCCAGUGGAACACUGGUACUUUCCGAGAUUGGUAUGAGAGUCUGUUGCAACACGGGUUACCCUGGACACCAGCAGUGAGAGAGAAGCUGCCAGAGCUUCAACAUGACAGCAGUUAGGUCAACCCUCCUUAUCCUGGUCCGCUGACUCGAAUGUCCUAUCCAAACUGUGUUUGCUUAUGUGAUCCUAACCUUUCAUUUCCAUUCUGGUCUCGACAAUCCCCUAUCCCAGGGUCUACCCAGUAGAAUUACUUGGGUCUGGUCUACACUAAUAAGAAAGAGGCCUGUCAGCAAGAAGCUGCUCCCUUGGUCACUCACUCCUUUAGCGCACUCUGCUCCCAUUCCCUACCUGAGCUCUGGAGCUGUUAACCUGGAAAACGCCCAGCCUCUGAACAGCUUGUCCUGGACCCUGUGACCUAGGACGAAACUGAGCCCUUUUUUAAUGAAAAACGAGUGCGAGAGAGAGAGAGAAGAGAUCAACCCUCCACCCUAGAAUAGCCAAGAGGUUCAAGUCCCUGGGCUGCCUCAGGCAAAGCACAGCCUUAAACCUGGGUCUCCCACAUAUAUCCCAGGCAAGUGCCCUAACCACUGGACUACUGGCUGUUCUGGGAGGUGGUGUUUGCAAGGGCCAGCCUAACCCUGAUGACGCCAGCCGUACCUGUUUGGACUUGUAUUUUUUGGCAUAUCGUGGUGAGACAAAGCGUUCCGGUUUCAUGUCCACGCUCUCUGGAUCGGAGA